GAUGAACGCUGGCGGCGUGCUUAACACAUGCAAGUCGAACGGGAAUUACUUUAUUGAAACUUCGGUCGAUUUAAUUUAAUUCUAGUGGCGGACGGGUGAGUAACGCGUGGGUAACCUGCCUUAUACAGGGGGAUAACAGUCAGAAAUGGCUGCUAAUACCGCAUAAGCGCACAGAGCUGCAUGGCUCAGUGUGAAAAACUCCGGUAGUAUAAGAUGGACCCGCGUUGGAUUAGCUUGUUGGUGGGGUAACGGCCCACCAAGGCGACGAUCCAUGGCCGGCCUGAGAGGGUGAACGGCCACAUUGGGACUGAGACACGGCCCAGACUCCUACGGGAGGCAGCAGUGGGGAAUAUUGCACAAUGGGGGAAACCCUGAUGCAGCGACGCCGCGUGAAGGAAGAAGUAUCUCGGUAUGUAAACUUCUAUCAGCAGGGAAGAUAGUGACGGUACCUGACUAAGAAGCCCCGGCUAACUACGUGCCAGCCGCCGCCGUAA
rnacentral:rRNA from 1 species